rnacentral:rRNA from 1 species
AUACGUAGGCAGCGAGCGUUGUUCGGAGUUACUGGGCGUAAAGGGUGUGUAGGCGGUCUUCUAAGUUCGGUGUGAAAUCUCCCGGCUCAACUGGGAGGGUGCGCCGAAAACUGGAAGGCUUCGAGUGCGGGAUGGGAGAGUGGAAUUCCUGGUGUAGCGGUGAAAUGCGUAGAUAUCAGGAGGAACACCUGUGGUGUAGACGGCUCUCUGGACCGUAACUGACGCUGAGACACGAAAGCGUGGGUAGC